rnacentral:rRNA from 1 species
AACAUUGAGCCUUGAUGUGUAGGAUAGGUGGGAGGCUUUGAAGUGUGGACGCCAGUCUGCAUGGAGCCGGCCUUGAAAUACCACCCUUUAAUGUUUGAUGUUCUAACGUUGACCCGUAAUCCGGGUUGCGGACAGUGUCUGGUGGGUAGUUUGACUGGGGCGGUCUCCUCCUAAAGAGUAACGGAGGAGCACGAAGGUUGGCUAAUCCUGGUCGGACAUCAGGAGGUUA